rnacentral:rRNA from 1 species
UGAUGGGGAUAACAGUUGGGAAACGACUGCUAAUACCGAAUACGCUCAUGAUGAACUUUGUGAGGAAAGGUGGCCUCUGCUUGCAAAGCUAUCGCAUAGAGAUGAGUCCGCGUCCCAUUAGCUAGUUGGUGGGGUAACGGCCUACCAAGGCAACGAUGGGUAGCCGAUCUGAGAGGAUGAUCGGCCACACUGGAACUGAAACACGGUCCAG